UGGGUAGCCCUUUCCUACUCGAGCCCUCUCACCCUGCCUAAGUGCUAGGUCGGCUCUGAAUCUCAUAUCAAACAGAUAGAUGGUGAAGUGGGAUUCCAAACAUAAUAUGGUCCAUUCAUUUCUGAAUGACCACUAAACAUAAUCUAGAGCAUCGCGGGCUCUAAGCACAUACCCUUUACCAUUUUUGGCAAAGGUUCAAAUAAUCCCACAAACACCAAAGUACAAAAGGGUAUUGUGAAUAAUAAAUUGGGACAUAUCGGAAGCACAUGCGGAACAACGAAAUGUACAUGUGCCUUUAUGAGUCAAUACGAUGCAAACAUAAUCCUUCACAAAUGUAUUCAGAUUUGAAAGGAAAUGAAAGCAAGAGUGUACAAGGAUUCCAAGCAAUCAUAUAAAGCUCAAUUCAAAUAAGAAGGUUAGAUAAAAUUAAUUUUCAAAGGAAUGAAACCAGAAUAUGCGAUAUCGACCAAAGCUCGAUUUCUGGUAGAAUUCAAGAGGCACAUUGAAUAAAUGAUUCAAACUAUCAAUCGUGCUCCAAUUUACACAAGAAAGCUAUUGUGGAAAGAUAUUUCAAUCUAUUUUCAGAUAAAACAAGUCUCGUAUGAAUCGAAGUUUCCAACAAAGAGUUACAAUAGAUUUAGUAACCCAAGAUCAAAGAACAAAUCUCAAUUUUAUAGAAUUCACAGGGUCGGUUUCAACAGAAAACUGGGCAAGCAUUUGGACUCUAAAUCUUUCAAUCCAGGUAUCAAAGAAAGAUCAUAAUCUCAGAAGUUGCACAGAUUCGAAUCGUUACGUCUAAACAGGAGAUAUAUCAAAUGCAAGGCUAGAACAAUUCAAAGUUCCUCAUAUUCAAAGCAAAUAUAGAGAUAAAAUUAUAGUAAGGAAAGAUCAGGACACUUGCAAUAGAAAAUAUUAGAAAGCUUGCAAUAGGAAGGAUCGGAACACUUGUAGGAGAAAAGAUUUAGGACACUUGUAAGAGAAAAGAUCGGGACACUUGCAAUAGAAAGGAUCGAAACAUUUACAAUAGAAAGGAACAAAACACUUGCCUUUCAAAGAUUUUGAUCCGAAGAUCUAAAGAAGGUGUCAGCCCAAAUCCUUCUACUUUUCCUCCGUGUCCUCUCCUUGUUUCGUUUUCUACAUAUGUCUUCUCUUUUUCCUUCACAACUACAGCUCAUGCAGAACAUAGAGGCAUAGUCACCUGCUCU
rnacentral:lncRNA from 1 species